rnacentral:rRNA from 1 species
UUUUCCCUACGGGAGGCAGCAGUAGGGAAUCUUCCACAAUGGGCGAAAGCCUGAUGGAGCAACGCCGCGUGGGUGAAGAAGGUCUUCGGAUCGUAAAACCCUGUUGUUAGAGAAGAGAGUGCGUGAGAGUAACUGUUCACGUUUCGACGGUAUCUAACCAGAAAGCCACGGCUAACUACGUGCCAGCAGCCGCGGUAAUACGUAGGUGGCAAGCGUUAUCCGGAUUUAUUGGGCGUACAGAGAACGCAGGCGGUCUUUUAAGUGUGAUGUGAGAGCAUUCGGCUGAACCG